rnacentral:rRNA from 1 species
UACGUGAGGGUGCAAGCGUUAAUCGGAAUUACUAGGGCGUGAAAGCGUGCGCAGGCGGUUGUGCAAGACAGAAUCGUGAAAUCCCCGGGCUCAACCUGGGAACUUGCAUUUGUGACUGCACAGCGUUGAGUGCGGCAGAGGGGAUGGAAUUCCGCGUGUAGCAGUGAAAUGCGUAGAUAUCGAGAGGAACACCUGCGGCGAAGGCGGGUGCUGGGCUGACACUGACGCUGAGGCGCGAAAGCUAGGGGAGCAAACGGG